AUGCUUUUUAAGGAAAGAGGCCAUGUCUGUGAUCAAAACAGGGCGACUGCUAAUCAGUCACGAGGCUCCCUUGACAGGCGGCUUUGCAUCGGAGAUCAGCUCUACAAUUCAGGAGGAAUGUUUCUUGAACCUAGAGGCUCCUAUAUCAAGAGUGUGUGGUUAUGACACACCAUUUCCUCACAUUUUUGAACCAUUCUACAUCCCAGACAAAUGGAAGUGUUAUGAUGCCCUUCGAAAAAUGAUCAACUAUUGACCAUAUAGAAAAGCUGGAAGAUUAUGACUAGAUAUGGAAAUAUUUUUUCUGAAUUUUUAAAAUAUUUCCUCAGACUUAUCUCUUUUUGAAAAGAAAGUUUUUAUGAAAUUAACCAUCAUGAUAUUGGCUGAAAAGUUCUACAUUCUAUUAUUGUAUUGUAUUGUAACACACAUGUAUUGAUGAUUUUUAUUAUGAGUUUCAGAUUAACUUUGAAAAAUGUUCCACAUGAUAAUCUUAUAAAUUCUGUUUAAUUAUAUCUGUAAAUAUUGUGUGUAAGAUAGUAUUCAAUGAAGUAAAAGCAGAUUGUC